UGUAGUGCGUGUCCAGAUUUGGCCACUAGGAUUACCCUUACAAAAACACUGACUUUAGUUCUCAACUCAGUAAGUGCUUUCUGUUGGGGUAGUUUUUCUGAUCUCUGCAACUUCCACUAUGUUAU
rnacentral:pre_miRNA from 1 species